CUGGGGGAUCUCAAUCCACAUUUGCACUCUCAGGAUAUUAUUAUUGUGCUUGGCUUCUUUUUUUUUUUCCCCCUUUUUUUUUUCCCUCCCCAGCCCUCUUUCCCUGUCUCUCACACUCUCUCGCUCCUGUAACUUUCGUAGCCAAAAAGCCGCCUUCGGUCCUUCGCUUUGCCGCACGGAGCCGUGCCCCGGGGCGGAAGGUAAGGGCGGCGGCGCCGGCUUCGCUCCCCCGGGGGUCGAGUUUCAGGGGCUGCUCUGUGCUCUGCAAUUAGAUUGACACAUGUACAACAUCCCCAGCCAUUCAAGGGGGUUCGCAGGGACACUCCAAAGGGAUUUUUUUUCUUUCUUUCUUUCUUUUUGGGUGGAAGAUAUUAAAGAGGUAUCUGUUGUUUGGCAA